UACGUAGGUGGCAAGCGUUGUCCGGAUUUACUGGGUAUAAAGGGAGCGCAGGCGGGAUAGCAAGUCAGCGGUGAAAUGCAAAGGCUCAACCUUUGAACUGCCGUUGAAACUGUUAUUCUUGAGUGAAGUAGAGGUAGGCGGAAUUCCGAGUGUAGCGGUGAAAUGCGUAGAUAUUCGGAUGAACACCGGUGGCGAAGGCGGCCUACUGGGCUUUUACUGACGCUGAGGCUCGAAAGUGUGGGGAGCAAAC
rnacentral:rRNA from 1 species